GUGGGGAAUCUUGCGCAAUGGGCGAAAGCCUGACGCAGCCAUGCCGCGUGAAUGAUGAAGGUCUUAGGAUUGUAAAAUUCUUUCACCGGGGACGAUAAUGACGGUACCCGGAGAAGAAGCUCCGGCUAACUUCGUGCCAGCAGCCGCGGUAAUACGAAGGGGGCUAGUGUUGCUCGGAAUUACUGGGCGUAAAGGGCGCGUAGGCGGACAGCUUAGUCAGAGGUGAAAGCCCAGGGCUCAACCUUGGAAUUGCCUUUGAUACUGGCUGUCUUGAGUUUGGGAGAGGUGAGUGGAACUCCGAGUGUAGAGGUGAAAUUCGUAGAUAUUCGGAAGAACACCAGUGGCGAAGGCGACUCACUGGCCCAAUACUGACGCUGAGGCGCGAAAGCGUGGGGAGCAAACAGGAUUAGAAACCAGGGUAGUCC
rnacentral:rRNA from 1 species